rnacentral:lncRNA from 1 species
UUGUGCUGUCUAUAUAACCAUGGUAAAACAAAGAAGAAACACAAGCUACAGCUUCAUACAAAGAAAUCACACAAAUGGGCAAGCAGAUGCCGAACUGUAGCCGAGGACUUCCUUCUGUUGUUGGCCCUUCUAGGCUGUUUUAGCAUUCCUGGCCAUGUGCAUGGUACAAAUCUGGAUUACACCAGGAGUGCAUCCCCGAAUGAAGGACGCAAAAAUGUCAAUAUAAAUGGUUUGGUACCCGUACCAUGCAACAUUUUCUCCCCAUCGGAGGUCUGCUGCAGAAAUGUAUGGUACCCUAGCUUGCAAGCCUGUGAGGCAAAUUGCAAGCCAAUUGUUUGA